GUACUACUCCCUCCGUCCGGAAAUACUUGUAGGAGGAAUGGAUGUAUCUAGGCAUAUUUUAGUUCUAGAUACAUCCAUUUUUGUCCAUUUCUUCGAGAAGUAUUUGUGGACGGAGGGAGUACUAU
rfam:Triticum aestivum genome assembly, contig: Triticum_aestivum_CS42_TGACv1_scaffold_542640_6DS